UACGGAGGGUGCAAGCGUUGUUCGGAAUCACUGGGCGUAAAGCGCGUGUAGGCGGCCUUCUCAGUCUGGUGUGAAAUCCCUGGGCUCAACCCAGGAACUGCGUCCGAUACUGGAAGGCUUGAAUCCGGGAGAGGGAUGCGGAAUUCCAGGUGUAGCGGUGAAAUGCGUAGAUAUCUGGAGGAACACCGGUGGCGAAGGCGGCAUCCUGGACCGGUAUUGACGCUGAGGCGCGAAAGCCAGGGGAGCAAACGGG
rnacentral:rRNA from 1 species